GACGAACGCUGGCGGCGUGCUUAACACAUGCAAGUCGAACGCCGAAGCACCAGCUUGCUGGUGUGGAUGAGUGGCGAACGGGUGAGUAAUACGUGAGUAACCUGCCCUUGACUCUGGGAUAAGCCCGGGAAACUGGGUCUAAUACUGGAUGCUACAUGUCACCGCAUGGUGGUGUGUGGAAAGGGUUUACUGGUCUUGGAUGGGCUCACGGCCUAUCAGCUUGUUGGUGAGGUAAUGGCUCACCAAGGCGACGACGGGUAGCCGGCCUGAGAGGGUGACCGGCCACACUGGGACUGAGACACGGCCCAGACUCCUACGGGAGGCAGCAGUGGGGAAUAUUGCACAAUGGGCGAAAGCCUGAUGCAGCGACGCCGCGUGAGGGAUGACGGCCUUCGGGUUGUAAACCUCUUUCAGCAGGGAAGAAGCCACAAGUGACGGUACCUGCAGAAGAAGCGCCGGCUAACUACGUG
rnacentral:rRNA from 1 species